UAACCUGCCUCAUACAGGGGAAUAACAGUUGGAAACGGCUGCUAAAACCGCAUAAGCGCACAGUAUCGCAUGAUACAGUGUGAAAAACUCCGGUGGUAUGAGAUGGACCCGCGUCUGAUUAGCUAGUUGGUGAGGUAACGGCCCACCAAGGCAACGAUCAGUAGCCGGCCUGAGAGGGUGAACGGCCACAUUGGGACUGAGACACGGCCCAAACUCCUACGGGAGGCAGCAGUGGGGAAUAUUGCACAAUGGGGGAAACCCUGAUGCAGCGACGCCGCGUGAGUGAUGAAGUAUUUCGGUAUGUAAAGNUCUAUCAGCAGGGAAGAUAAUGACGGUACCUGACUAAGAAGCACCGGCUAAAUACGUGCCAGCAGCCGCGGUAAUACGUAUGGUGCAAGCGUUAUCCGGAUUUACUGGGUGUAAAGGGUGCGUAGGUGGUGAGACAAGUCUGAAGUGAAAAUCCGGGGCUUAACCCCGGAACUGCUUUGGAAACUGCCUGACUAGAGUACAGGAGAGGUAAGUGGAAUUCCUAGUGUAGCGGCGAAAUGCGUAGAUAUUAGGAGGAACACCAGUGGCGAAGGCGACUUACUGGACUGCUACUGACACUGAGGCACGAAAGCGUGGGGGAGCAAACAGGAUUAGAUACCCUGGUAGUCCACGCCGUACACGAUGAAUACUAGGUGU
rnacentral:rRNA from 1 species